rnacentral:rRNA from 1 species
GACGAACGCUGGCGGCGUGCCUAAUACAUGCAAGUAGAACGCUGAAGAGAGGAGCUUGCUCUUCUUGGAUGAGUUGCGAACGGGUGAGUAACGCGUAGGUAACCUGCCUUGUAGCGGGGGAUAACUAUUGGAAACGGUAGCUAAUACCGCAUAACAAUGGAUGACACAUGUCAUUUAUUUGAAAGGGGCAAUUGCUCCACUACAAGAUGGACCUGCGUUGUAUUAGCUAGUAGGUGAGGUAACGGCUCACCUAGGCGACGAUACAUAGCCGACCUGAGAGGGUGAUCGGCCACACUGGGACUGAGACACGGCCCAGACUCCUACGGGAGGCAGCAGUAGGGAAUCUUCGGCAAUGGGGGCAACCCUGACCGAGCAACGCCGCGUGAGUGAAGAAGGUUUUCGGAUCGUAAAGCUCUGUUGUAAGUCAAGAACGAGUGUGAGAGUGGAAAGUUCACACUGUGACGGUAGCUUACCAGAAAGGGACGGCUAACUACGUGCCAGCAGCCGCGGUAAUACGUAGGUCCCGAGCGUUGUCCGGAUUUAUUGGGCGUAAAGCGAGCGCAGGCGGUUUGAUAAGUCUGAAGUUAAAGGCUGUGGCUCAACCAUAGUUCGCUUUGGAAACUGUCAAACUUGAGUGCAGAAGGGGAGAGUGGAAUUCCAUGUGUAGCGGUGAAAUGCGUAGAUAUAUGGAGGAACACCGGUGGCGAAAGCGGCUCUCUGGUCUGUAACUGACGCUGAGGCUCGAAAGCGUGGGGAGCGAACAGGAUUAGAUACCCUGGUAGUCCACGCCGUAAACGAUGAGUGCUAGGUGUUGGAUCCUUUCCGGGAUUCAGUGCCGCAGCUAACGCAUUAAGCACUCCGCCUGGGGAGUACGACCGCAAGGUUGAAACUCAAAGGAAUUGACGGGGGCCCGCACAAGCGGUGGAGCAUGUGGUUUAAUUCGAAGCAACGCGAAGAACCUUACCAGGUCUUGACAUCCCGAUGCUAUUUCUAGAGAUAGAAAGUUACUUCGGUACAUCGGUGACAGGUGGUGCAUGGUUGUCGUCAGCUCGUGUCGUGAGAUGUUGGGUUAAGUCCCGCAACGAGCGCAACCCCUAUUGUUAGUUGCCAUCAUUCAGUUGGGCACUCUAGCGAGACUGCCGGUAAUAAACCGGAGGAAGGUGGGGAUGACGUCAAAUCAUCAUGCCCCUUAUGACCUGGGCUACACACGUGCUACAAUGGUUGGUACAACGAGUUGCGAGUCGGUGACGGCAAGCUAAUCUCUUAAAGCCAAUCUCAGUUCGGAUUGUAGGCUGCAACUCGCCUACAUGAAGUCGGAAUCGCUAGUAAUCGCGGAUCAGCACGCCGCGGUGAAUACGUUCCCGGGCCU